UAACAUCUGCCUCUGAAGUUGCAUCUUAGAAUGCGAGUUAUCACCAGCACGGCAGCUUACCGCGACCAUGCUCAUCCUAACCCUAUUCUGCCUGAGGCCCUGCAAUGUCUCCCACAUUCUGCUGUGGUCCAUGCUGAAAUGGGGCGGCACAAACCUUACUAGUAAAAUUCCACCGCCAGAUUCUGGUGACAUGGGAAGUCAGCGUCAGGGCUGUGGAUGGAACUGUUUCAAAGGCUGAAUGCAGUAAUCAAAGCCAAUAUUCAAUCAAUACACUAUUUAAGCAAAAGAGCUCUUCCAGGCUCCAUCUGUGACCCAUCCCCACUCCAGCUCCCCAGGAUGCCCGCGCUUCCUCAUCCACCUGCCAGCUUUACAGAUGAAUUCAGGAACUCCCCUGCAGCCCCUCCUAAUGGUCGUGAGCAAUAGUGCAAUUAAGGGAGCAAACCCUUCCUCCUCGGGUCGGAGGGACACUGUGUCUCAGAGGUAGCUGAGGAUGUACAAACCUAGAGGUGAAGCAUUUCAGCAUCAGAACCGGAGAAGACAGAGAUGCACUGGACAAUCACAGCCCGCAAAAGGACUAA
ensembl:lncRNA